rnacentral:lncRNA from 1 species
ACAAUGUGAAUAACGUAGAAAACUCAUUCGUCUAGACCGAGAAAGUAAAUCAUACUCACCGAUAUAUCUUGAAGCAUUUUCCACUCAUGGAUGGAAAUGUCGCCAAAACACCAAGCGAUUCCUACUAAGUGCUCGGCCACCAACGUAGCCGUUCCGGGAUGAUAUUGGUAAAUCGAAAGUCAUAGUCUUCAUGUACCCUCAACGCCGUUGGCCUCAAGUUCAAGUCCUUCUGUGUGAACAGUAUUCCAAACUCUUUUUUUGGGGUAUGAAAACAAUUCCAACCGCUCUCCGUACAAGAGUAAUGACUCCAAACUCUUUAAAGCAAAAUAUAAAACCGCCGCACGUUUCCAAGUCAGAGUCGGAUAAUUUUGUUCGUGCGUCUUCAACUGAGGCACCAUACGCAAUCACUUUAUCAAAACGCAUCAAAACACGCAAACCCAAGCCACACGUGAAGCAUCGCAAUACACUGUAUACCCCAACCCCGCUCGGGUUAUACAAGAAUUGGUUGCCGGAAGUCAGUCUCUUCUAAGUCUUGAAAAGAAUGCUCGACGCUCGUUCCAAAACAAACGAAUUCCUUACUCGUAAGUAGAGUCAUGGUGCCGCGAAUCUUGAAAAGUCCUAUACAAAUCGCCGGUAGAAAACAAGCCUAUAGACCCAAAGAGAAGAAAACUACGAUUUCAAAUACGGUAUUCGGUCGUUCCCAAUAUCACUGCGCUCAAUUUUGAUGAUCCACAGCUACUCCACUCCAGACACACGUGACCUAAGAAUUUUACCUCAGGUAACCAAACUCGAUUUGCUAAGCUUAGAAUACAAGCGAUGUUCUCGCAAAGCUUGUGCAGCAAUAUCCUCAACAUGCUCUCAUGCGACUCAACGAUGGCGAAUAGAUCCAAGAUGUCAUCCACACAUAGACCACGAAACGAUCAAGAUAGGGAUUGAAGAUACGAUUCAUCAAAAUCCAUGAAAGCCGCUGGUGCGUUAGUAAGCCCAACUGGCAUCACAAGAAACUCAGACUGCCCGUAGCGUGAGCGAAAAGCCGUCUUGCAAUGUCCUCUUCCUGAAAUUCGCAAUUGGUGAUAACCAGACCUCAAAUCGAUCUUUGAAAAACAGGCUCGAAACCUUUCAAUUGGUCAAAAAAGUCAUCGAGCCUCGGAGAUGUUCUUGGAUACGUAUUCUUUAUCGUAACACGGUUUCAUUCAAUCGUCGUAAUCUAACACAUUCAGCGAUCCCAUCCUCUUCUUGCCAAACAAAGCCGAGUCACCAUGGUGAUGCCUAGGUCGGAUAAAAAACCCUUAUCCAACAAAAUAUUGAAUUUUGAACCUUAAGCUAUUGCAAUCUUGCCGGUGAAAAACGAUAAGGUGGUACUGAGAUAAGGCGCGGUACCCGGUAUAAGAUCAAGGAGAACUCAAUCUCUCGAUGGAUGGUGGUACCUUGUUCAAUCUCCGGAAAGGACAUCCGGAAAACUCCACAAACAACCGGGUGGUUGGUAAGGUCACACUGACUCUGCUACCCCAUCGACCAAGUUGCCGAGAAAGAAAAUUCAAUCCCGUGCAUACGCACAUCAGGAAGACGAAGGAACAAAACACUACUCGAUCUCCCAUAAAAUUGAAAGUGAUCUCCUUCAGGUGUACAAAAGUAACACGGUGUCGGACACAAGUCUAUAGAGCCCGAUAGCCGGUCAACAAAUCCCUACCAAGGAUUACGUCAAACGAAAGCAUAUAUAAUACAACAAAGCUAAAGAUUUGAAACGUCGAUCAGCGAUCUCAACUCACCAAAGAUCUACAAAGCUCUUCAACAGUUGAUCUACCCCAUGGGUGGAGUGAUCUAAACAUAGUACUGAAUAUGACUCCUCAAUCUUAACACCAACGACAAAGCAAAAGUGAGGCGUAUGAAUGAAUGUGAUGCUCCCGUGUCGAUGAGAACCACGAGACCAUGAAUUAAACUAAGUAAAGUACUCGGCACAACAGGAGGUAUCCAAUUGCUGCUCAUGUGUCCAGCUAUCCCUGACGGUCCCGAUGCUGAUGGUAUAGCGUAAAAUCGUCCUUGCGUCUCUGGACCCUGCUGAAGGUACAGGCCUGUGUCUGGAUCUGAUCAUUGAAGUUUGUGCCUGAUGUAAUUGCUGGGAGUAGUAGCCUCGAGGCCUGAACUGACCGAGUAGGUUGUUGCCCCAAUCCCGAGCUCCCGUGACUGAUUCUCCCUCUGCGUGCACUGCAAACUGAUAGACCCACUGACCACACCGAUAGAAGUAGUGGCCCCUUUGACUAGUGAUUGUCACUGGUGCCUGGAUAUGAGAUUGUCCCCUCUGACUUGCGAAUUGCCACUGCUUGACCUUCAGAGGGCAGUCCACUAUACGAUUGACCCGGGUGUGACAACCCAAACAAAUCGGCCCUCCCCGAGAUUGUUUGGCCAGAUGAUACAAUACCUCGAAAGUGGCGGGUAAGACAUCGUUAGGAUACUGCUGCUGUGCAAUAUAAUUCCUGGUCUUAAAAGAACGCCCUUCAGAUUGGGGCUAGUUCCAUCACGUUGUGACUGGGAUUUUGAAUUUUCCUUAGUCUCAUUCAAAAGUCUCCUCGAGGGCUGCCCGCGCGCUAACCAUAGUCGAGGUAAACUUGAUCAAACUCCCAGCAAUCUUAUUCAUUAUGACGGCCUAAGCCCCCCGCAUAAAUGUUUUGCUUCUCCUCUUCCGGUGAUACAAAUGCUUUGGCAAACCGGACAAGCUAGUAAACUGGCCCUCAUAUGGAGCCACGUCAUGCUUCCCUUGACCAAAGUAAAUAAACUCCAUCCUUAACGCUCCUUAGCCGUAUCCGUAAAAUUACUGAUUAGGGAAAGCGUUCUUGAAAGGAUACCACUUCUCUGCUACCACUUCCUCCAUGGUCUUCCACAUUGAAGGCAUCCCCCUGCAGUUGAUAGGAUGAAACAACACCCGCAACUCCUUCAUCGUUACUAAGAUUGUACCGCGCUCUGUGAUUGUUCGAGCCAUCUCCGCAAACCAAGGAUCCGGUUCUCCUUUGACGUUGGAGGUCGUAGUUGAAAAGAGAAAGGCUCAUGGCGGUGGUAGCAUACUUUCUGCCGUUCUUAACUGGCACUUGCAUAGUUUGCACAGUGUUUCUCACCACUGUUGCUCAAUGGCAGAUGAAAACUACUUGCAUUAAAUGCGGCGGCCACCCAAAGUCGUAGGUGUAGCACCUCCAACAUUCCCUACAUUUUUACGGAGCACUCACCUUCCUCCCAUCACCGACUCUUGGGUGUCAAUCUCCUUCAUCGAGAUUCAUACGAGCCCCGCGUGGUCCACGGCCCCACGAGCUACCGUAGUGACUUCGCACGACAUCUAGCGUUGCGGUGGGGGAUGUUCUACACAAUGCCACAAGAAACAAUAAGAUAAUCAUAUUCAUUAUGAUUUUAAGCAUAAACAUUGCUAUACAUAAGCCAAGUUAAAUAACAUGUCUAGCAUAUACGUCAUGUUAUCCCUAUCACAUUAGAUUAGUACACUAACGUUACCCUCUCAAUACCUAGACGUAAACCAAAUGUGCGUCUAACCAUCCCACGGCUCAUAGGUAUUCGAACCUAGAGCUCUGAACACAUGUUGUCACGCCCGGUCAAAACCAGACCCGGCACGUAAGACAAACAAAUCACAUGCGGAAAAGGGAAAAGUCAAAUAAAAAAAAAUGACAAUACACUGUAUUUACAUCAGAGUGCGGAAAUAUAUUACAAACAUUUCUAUGUUUAUCAAAUAAACAGCACAACUGGCAUUACCAAUUUCGCCUCAAGACUCAGGAUAACCCUCGGUAGCCUGAAAAAUCAUGUUUUAAGUAAAAAGGUUGAGUUACCUUGAAAAACGAUUUUAACAAGGAUUGAGCUUCAAGCCAAAAACCAUGAUACAAUAACUCUAUACUAUGAAAACAUGAUACAAUAAAGUAUGCUUUAAUUUAUAUCAAAAUAGUUAUUUUUGAUUUUUAUCCCUUGAUUCUCAAAUCAAACAGGUUUCCAAAAAAAAAGGCUUCUCUCACAAGCAUUACUCCAUAAUUUAGGAAUAACACAUUUAUACCUAAUACCUAACAAUCUACUAUGCAAUAAGCAGUGAGACUAACACGCAUCAACUUUCCGGACUUCACCGUGGGCUAUGAUAUUCCCUCCGUAUCGUUGCAAUCUAGGAUUUUUUAUUGUUCAACUUCCGGACUUUCAGCCGUGGGGCUAUGACCAUAACCGGUUAUCGUUGCCAUCUAGGACUUUCAUUUUGUUCAACUUCCCGCGACUUAACCGUGGUCUAGACAUUCCCUCCAUCGUUGCCAUCUAGGAUUUCAUUUGUCAACUGCCCGGACUUUCACGUGGGCUUAUGACAUUCCUCCGUAUCGUUGCAUCUAGGAUUUCUUGUGAUGAAUCUAAGCCAUCUAAUUCUGGUAUAUUUAGAUGUGUCAUUCCUAAAAAUAAUUCUUCAUUCUCAAUCCAACAUUCAUUUCUAAACCAAGUUCAUGUAUUUUGAACUUUAUAUUUAAUAAUUACUUCAAAGUAUAAUAAGAAUCACUUUAUCAAUCAAUUCAAGAACUCAAACAUAAUCAUUAAAGAGACAAUUUCAAUGUAAUUAAGUCAAAUAUUUUUAAAGCUAUGAGCAUUAUUUGACAAUAAAAUCUAAUAUUAAAGCAACAUAAUUUUAGAUAAAUUUCCAAUAUCUAUCUCUAAUUUUCGCAUAAAAAUAAUUUAUGCUAAUCAAAACUAAAUUUUUACAUUUCAGUUAAUACAAACAAAAAAUAAUUUUUAAUAUACUUGAUAGAAGCUAUAACAACAAACCCAAAGUAAAAACCCAAACAAACUAACCCCUUUACUCAAUACGAAUUUGACCCCGUGCGGAUAUGAAGAUCAAGCUUCCAUGAUCGUCAUACUAAAUUUUGCAGUAAUCCAACGUCAUCUCACCGUUGAUCUGCACCCCAUCUUUCAUAUCAAAACUUAACCACACAUAUCAUUUCCAUCAUUUCUUUCUCUCUCUCUCUCUUCUCUUAUUUCUGCGC